UCCCUGGUAGUAUAUCGGAUUAGUACACGCGCCUGUCAUUUAUCCGACCGCGCGAGAGCGGGGUUCGACUCCCCGCCAGGGAG